UGAGAGAAGGGAUGACACAGUAGGAUAAGCUAAGCACACUGUUGGUUAUGUGUGCCCAAGCAUUGAGGCGGUCAAAGUAGGCAAAUCCGCUUUGAUAAUGCUGGGAUGUGAUGGGGAGCGAAAUUUAGUAGCGAAGUAGCUGAUUUCACACUGUCAAGAAAAGUCUCUAUCGAGGUUAAAGGUACCCGUACCGCAAACCGACACAGGUGGGUGAGGAGAGUAUCCUAAGGCCAGCGAGAGAACUGUUGUUAA
rnacentral:rRNA from 1 species